UCCAUUCUCACUUCCUUCUAGUAGAAUGAUAACUAAUUGGACCUUAACCAGGGUUCUUUUAAUGUUGACAUUCUUUUAUUUUAUUUGUUUGUUAAAACCUCCUCGAACUAUAUCAAUGAGGUAUUUAGUAUUUAUAUAUAAAAAUUUCCAGUGGACAGGUGUGGUUACAGGUUUGAGUUACAGAAGCAGUCUUUUUGCUAGAGCAAGGCAAGACUACAUGACAUACAAAUAUGACCCUCAUAGAACAGGGAGGCUCAUGCAUUGGGGAUGCCAUUUUAAUUGCUUUGCUUCAAUGGCAUGCCCCUGGGGUCCUCACCUUGUUCAAUAAAGUUGCAGGAGAUGCCAUAAUAUUGACAGCUAUUUGAAUGCCAUUAAGAAAUGAAGCUUUCCCUCACUGUAUCCAGUGAAGUUACUUGAGAUGCCAUAUAAUUUAGGCAGAUUUUGGUAGGCAUCGUUUGAUGUUGAUGUAUUUCUGGCCAUCUAGUUGUUUCUUAACAAAUCAUUCCCCUCUUGUCAAUGUAUGUGUGGUGAGGCAGUAUUUGAAACUUUGAAUGUCCCUUGGAAACAAACUUUUCUAUUCACUUUUAUGAUGCAUAUCACCUUAUUUUAGUUCUAUAUACCUUAUGAGACGGUGGUUUGAGAUUAAAUAUUAUGACCAACUUUAGAACCUCACAUCAUCUAAUCAGGGUUUUUGGAUAACUUUUCUUCAUGCAUGACUGUUUCUUAUUGUUGUCCAUCUGUCUGCAUGGACUGUAAUUAUUUCUU